rnacentral:lncRNA from 1 species
CAUACAGUGUGUUCAAGUGCAGUUUGCUUGCGCUAUGAUGUUGAAAAUGUAAACCCGGCUCUAUUGACAUAAACACGCGUAAUAGACAGGCUGAAACACAUGCAAAUAGAACCUCGUCUCCACUUAAAGCACAGCAGGUGCCGCCAUUAGUUGGGCGAAUAUGCAGCGCAGGGAAGCGCACUUGCAGAUUAUGAAAAGGGUCUAUUAAAAAGCCACAUCGUGAGGGAGGCAAUGUACAAUUUUUUUUAACCUAGCACAAGGUCCUGCAUGGUAACAACCUUUUGCGCGCAUUAUUGAGUAGAUUGUUUGCAGCGAUGUUUUAUUUCUCCGUGGAAGUAUUGCUGCGCAAAUCUCUCUCGUUAUGGCUUACAGCAGGUGUAGCAGGGGUCUCUUUAGAACUUGCAGCUGGUGUAAAAAGGGUGUUUUGACAUUAAGAACUCCCAGCAGGUGUAAAAACAGUGUUGUGACGUUAGAACUCGCAAUGGGUGUAAAAACAGUGUUGUGACGUUAGAACUCGCAGUGGGUGUAAAAAGGUUGUUGUGACGUCUUUUUAGUUUUGCCGGUGUUAAGACAUGGCGACAUCCUCGUAAUCUUUAAAUCUCAUUGUGGUCAUGUGACGAGGUUAUCUCUCGUGAACAUUUCGCUACACAUGCAUAGAUUUCACAUUUGCAUUCUUGUGUAUGGUGCUAGAUUAAUGCCGAGAACGAAAACAAAAAAAAUCAAGGGUCCACAUUUCAGUGCUGCAAUUUUUUGUCCUGGCUCACGCAGUAAAUAUCAAAGUGUGCUAAUAUUGUAGAAACGCCGCACAUUUUGGCACCUCUCAUAACAGCACAAAAGCACCCGUACUGUUCAUUUUUUCUUAACGAGGAAAUUUCCUUUCACGUGAAUUUUAUGCCAUUCCUGCAUGAUUACAUCAGUGGAGAGAUAUCAGUUCCUCACGAAGCUUUUGAUAAACCAGACUCUUUCAAACGUGUUACUUUCACCCUCCAUGUGUAGUAAGGUAGCAGUGUUUGUUGGCAGAAUGGAAUAGCUGAAAGCGUUAUUUAUUAUAUACGAAAUGUGAACAUCUGUAUCUUGCUCACAAAGUGAGAUGUUCUCGAACCCACACCUGCCUGAAGCUCUAAUGUAUUGCCGACCAGCUUUACACAAUCUUAGAUCUGUGUUGUGGACAUUAUGCACCAACUAUGCUGCUUAUUUGGAGCAGGACAGCUGUAACCGCGAUUCACAAUGCUCCCUUAAUUUUCACGUUCUCCGCGACAGACAUCGGGAUGUGUUUUUGUAGCUCCUGAAGUCCACUGAAAUUUUGAGCGUUGGCACGAAGGUUGUUGUCAUUUGUGAAUACCCAACUUACCUGAACAUCUAUUGCUCUAAGGACAGGCUUGAGGACAUAUUUGCACUCAAACUGAGGUGUCCUCAAGUAUAUGUGAGGGUAGCCGAGUCGUGUUAUUUUGAGAAGAAAUGCAGAGAAAAGGAGCAGCCCGAGAUACCAUAGAUUAUAUACACGUGUGAGUAUUUUUGUGUUAAGAAGUUGAUUUUGGGCAACAUUCGAAUGUACCGUGUUAAGGAGAAACUGAUAGCAGCAGUCCGACAUAACCAGUCUGUGAUCCCAUAGACUAUGCAUUUGGGAUCUGUUCAGUGGACUUUGCAUCAUUGUUUUCUAUUUACACAAGGUGUAAGGUGAGCUUUAUGAAAUCUACUCCUGCACCACGAUGCGAUUUUUUGUUCUUGAAACUACGAUGAAAACCAUUUUUUUUUUGCAUUGGAUAAAAAUGGGGACCGCGCGUAUACACUCUCAUUCUUGACAUGCUAACAGUGGAACCAUGUGAGGUUGUAUAGUUGCAGAAAAAAAUACUUUCAAAACUUAGUUCCAUCACUAACGUUCACAAGGACUGUGAGAUUUUUUUUUUUUUUUUCGUGAAGCAAAACAUUUGUUCCUAUUGCGUGUAAAUAUUUGAAGUUUUGUGCUGUGGUUUGUGUGCGUGUGAACUGCUGUGAUAUGUCGUAUGGUGAGAAUCCACAUUUUACAAAACUGACGGGCCUGUCACGAAAAAAAAAAAGAAACUCGGCGAAUCUGUGAUUGUCACGGGAGGAGCGAGUCUGUGCGGGCACACCUUUAUCCAAAUGCAACUGACAAAGAUAACGUGUGCAUUUUCAUUUCUGUGCUUAUAUAUGUAUAUUUACUUCGGUCUUUUAAGGUGUCCUUCCUCGUUGUAGUAUUUAGUCACAUCUGUUACUACACGUACAAGUAAUGCUGUGUCAAAUAAAGUCUGUGCUUACAUGCAA